rnacentral:rRNA from 1 species
CCCUUAGAUGUCCGGGGCUGCACGCGCGUUACACUGAAGGAAUCAGCGUGCUAAAACCAUUGUCGAAAGGCAUUGGUAAACCCAUUAAAAUCCUACGUGAUUGGGAUCGGGAAUUGCAAUUAUUUCCCUUGAACGAGGAAUUCCCAGUAAGUGUGGGUCAUAAGCUCGCGUUGAUUACGUCCCUGCCCUUUGUACACACCGCCCGUCGCUGCCCGGGACUGAGCCGUUUCGAGAAAAGCGGGGACUGCUGCUGUCGGGGCUUUCGGGCCUUGGCUUCGGUGGAAACCGCUUUAAUCGCAGUGGCUUGAACCGGGCAAAAGUCGUAACA